AAAGCUAUCGCCGAAGGAGGGGUUUUGCGUCUGAUUAGCUGGUUGGAGGGGUAACGGCCCAACCAAGGCGAUGAUCAGUAGCCGGUCUGAGAGGAUGAACGGCCACAUUGGGACUGAGACACGGCCCAGACUCCUACGGGAGGCAGCAGUGGGGAAUCUUCCGCAAUGGACGAAAGUCUGACGGAGCAACGCCGCGUGAGUGAAGAAGGUCUUCGGAUUGUAAAGCUCUGUUAUACGGGACGAAAAAGACGGAUGCCAACAGUAUCCGUCCGUGACGGUACCGUAAGAGAAAGCCACGGCUAACUACGUGCCAGCAGCCGCGGUAAAU
rnacentral:rRNA from 1 species